AUGCCGCGGUGAAUACGUUCCCGGGUCUUGUACACACCGCCCGUCACACCACGAGAGUUGGUAACACCCGAAGUCGGUGAGGUAACCGUAAGGAGCCAGCCGCCGAAGGUGGGAUCAAUGAUUGGGGUGAAGUCGUAACAAGGUAGCCGUAUCGGAAGGUGCGGCUGGAUCACCUCCUUUCU
rnacentral:rRNA from 2 species